GUUCCUCUCCCUUUCUUGGGAAGGCUGAGCUGCUAGGGGAGCAGCUGUAGAUUCUGUGAUUACAGCUCCUGGGUAGCUCUUCCCUUCAGCCCUCUGGCGCUUGUCAUAUUUGGAAAUCACCUUUUAUAGAAGCUCGUCAGUGGCUACGGCCCUUCCAGCGUCCAUGCUCCAAGUGUGCAGCAACGGCUCAGGUGAAGCAAGUCAUUUACAUCUUGUAAUGUAAGAAACUAAGAAACCAUGCAGACAUUUGAAGGAGGAUCUUCAUGGGCAGAAGGAACGAUGAGCAUGGGAAUUAAAGGAACACCAAAGAGGACCAUCAGCCCUUUCUACUCCUCCCCUGUUCUACAGGAUUCAGCAACUAAGGAGUUAAUGCCUGGCACACCUUUCUUAUUGAUUGGCCAGUCUCUGGUUUAGUAUUUAAACAUCAUGACUGCUUCAAAAAUAUCACCUGAUGGGGAAAUGAAAGUUAUUAGAUAAUAAAUCAUUCAUGUAUCCCA
rnacentral:lncRNA from 13 species